AAGAUCAUACUUCACAGGAUCAUUUCUGUAGUAUAUCUUCGCAUACUCUCUACUCAAACGUAGAGUUGUCGCAAUCGCGAUGACGAGAUGAGGUUUUGUAUCCUGAGCGUGAGACAGGCUGACGAAUUCUCUUUGGGAAUUUGCGCAGCAUCCGAUGAUCGUUCACCUAAAAUUUCAUAGUUUUAGGCAAUGGAUGCAAAACGAUCUGAGCGAU